CAGCAGCCACGGUAAUACGUAGGUGGCAAGCGUUGUCCGGAAUUAUUGGGCGUAAAGGGCUCGCAGGCGGUUUCUUAAGUCUGAUGUGAAAGCCCCCGGCUCAACCGGGGAGGGUCAUUGGAAACUGGGAAACUUGAGUGCAGAAGAGGAGAGUGGAAUUCCACGUGUAGUGAUGAAAUGCGUAGAGAUGUGGAGGAACACCAGUGGCGAAGGCGACUCUCUGGUCUGUAACUGACGCUGAGGAGCGAAAACGUGGGGAGCGAACAGGAUUAGAUACCCCAGUAGUCCCUGUCUCUUAUAC
rnacentral:rRNA from 1 species